AUCGUUUCAAAUUAUAGGAUUAACCGAAACAUGGUUGAAUGAUAUAAACAAAGACAAUUUUAAUUUACCAGACUAUAAUUAUAUAGGAUCAAAUAGAGAAAAUAAAAGAGGUGGAGGGGUAGGCAUGUAUGUCUCGAAACAACUGCAAUAUAAAACUCGAAAUGACAUAAGUAUAAACGUAGAAAACGGAAUUGAAACCUCUUUUAUCGAAAUAUGUACAUCUAAAGGUAAGAAUAUAAUUGUAGGAACAAUCUAUAGGCCACCAAAUAAUAAGAUUGACGCACUUGAAAACUCAAUGAAAAGAAUAUUAGAGAAAAUCGAUAAAGAAAAUAAAAUUGGCUAUCUUAUGGGGGACUUUAAUAUUGAUCUACUUAAAUCGGAAUCUUGUGAUUAUGCAGGCCAAUUUACCGAACAACUUUUCACAUCUUAUUAUCCACUCAUAACAAAGCCAA